rnacentral:misc_RNA from 1 species
UUCAUUAGCUGGCGGACCAGCCAUGUUGAACCUUGUUUAAUUGUUGUUUUCGAGUGGAAUAGUUUUCCACGUGGGUUUCAUUUGUUAAGUCAGGUAUUUUGACUGCUACGUUGUAGCGGAAAUUCCAAGUUCCUAAACAAUGUUAUCACCCGUUAGCUGUAAAGGUACUCUGGAAGAAAUCUAUGAUAUUAGUAGAAUAAUUUUAUGGAUUAAAGAAUUGGAUGUAAAAAAAAUUGCUUUACAAUUCCCCGAUGAACUGCUAAAUGAUGCUCCCGAUGUCGCACUUAAAAUAGAAUUGUCCUCCAACAUUGAAGUUCAUAUUCUAGGUGAUACUACAUAUGGAAGUUGUUGUGCUGAUGUUCAUGCUGCUACAUAUAUUGGUGCAGAGGCUUUGGUACAUUUUGGCCCAGCUUGUUUAACUCAGCAUGAAAAAUUUCCUGUGCUUUAUAUAUUUGAAAAAAUCAGUGUUGAAUCAAAACCAUUUUUAGAUGAGUUGACUGCAACUCUUUCAGAACAGGAUAAUUUAAUAAUAGCUUCUGAUCUGAGAUAUUAUCAUUCUGCAGAAACAAUAGUGGCUGAACUGCAGGCACUAAAGCGAACUGUGUUGUAUCUUGAACCCAAUCUGUUUUCAUUGCAUCAACCAUCACCAGAUCAUUUAACAGUGUCAGGGCGUACUUGCCAAAAGCUGUUGCCACACGACACUCCGAUCGAGAAUUUCAUCGUGAUAUACAUUGGCGAAGAGGGAUUAACAUUGACUAAUCUAAUGUUCACCCUAAACCAAUGUACUUUUUACACCUAUAACCCGAACGGAUGCUCCUUGAAAAAAGAAUGUGUUAAUGUCAAUCAGCAACUGCGGAGACGUUACUUCUUAACAGAGAAAGCUAAAGACGCUCAAUUAGUUGGUAUUCUUGUAGCUACAUUGGGUGUCGCUGAUCAUCUGAAAAUAAUUGAACACAUCAAAUUUCUCGCCAAAAACUCUGGCAAAAAGUGUUAUACUUUUGUUGUAGGAAAGCUGAAUCCAAAUAAGCUGGCCAACUUUCCAGAAAUCGAUGUUUUUGUAGCAGUUGCGUGUCCAGAGAAUUCAUUGCUAAACAACGAAGAAUUCUAUCGACCAGUUAUUACACCGUAUGAGUUUGAGAUUGCCGUGAACAGUUCGCGCCCUUGGACAGGCGAUUACAUAACUGAUUUUAGGCAAAUUCUGCCAGACGCGGCUGGGUACGUCCCGCUCACAGCUUUAAGCCAAGAACAAGAGGCAGAUGUUUCCCUUGUUUCAGGACAAAUGCGCCACGUAGCGUUGGAAGGCCUUGAUGACGAUUCCAGUGCAAGCUUUGAUCAGAUUUCACAUAGAAAUCCGAAUUCAAGCCUACUUCCUGUGGGUAGUGACUUUCUUAAGCGACGCGGUUGGAGUGGGCUUGAACCUCACGUUGGUGAAACCCCUGUCAGGACUGCGCAUUCAGGAAGAAGAGGAUUGGCAGCUGGUUACAGUGGGGAAGGCGAAAACGAAACCAAAUAAGAAAAUGUGUCUGAAAAACUCGACUUGGCUCAUAUUCUUGUUGCUAAAUUGGAGCAAUGGAUUUUGUAGGGAAUUAUCAUGCCAUUCCGUGUCGUCAUAAUAGAGUAAUGAAGACAAUUGAAUAUAUAUCGUUGAGGCACUAUGAGAAAUGUCCAGAAAAAGAUCGCGCGGGAUAGCGUAGCCUGCAUUGUGUCAUAGAGAAGCCUGCCAAGCUCAGUGCCUGGAGAAAAACUUCGGACUUUUUCCAACUAUUCCUCUGAAAGUGGUAGAAACCCUCUAGCCUCUACCCUAGAAGAUAUGUUUUCGUCAGAUGGCAGCAGGCUAUAAAGCAGACAACAUUAAUUUUUUUUCCACAACAACAAGCUAACGCCAAGCCCAUGCUCCCAAACAAGUGUAUUUAAUACAUUCCCAUUCUACUUUUG